AUUGAACGCUGGCGGCAGGCUUAACACAUGCAAGUCGAGCGAGCGGCGGACGGGUGUGUAAUGUCUGGGAAACUGCCUGAUGGAGGGGGAUAACCACUGGAAACGGUAGCUAAUACCGCAUUCCAUCGGAUGUGCCCAGAUGGGAUUAGCUAGUAGGUGGGGUAAUGGGUCACCUAGGCGACGAGCCCUAGCUGGUCUGAGAGGAUGACCAGCUACACUGGAACUGAGACACGGUCCAGACUCCUACGGUAGGCAGCAGGGGGGACUAUUGCACAAUGGGCGCAAGCCUGAUGCAGCGAUGCCGCGUGUGUGAAGAAGGCCUGCGGGUUGUAAAGCACUUUCAGCGAGGAGGCGUUACGCGCAGAAGAAGCACCGGCUAACUACGUGCCAGCAGCCGCGGUAAUUC
rnacentral:rRNA from 1 species